UUUGCAAGUCACAGACAAAAUGUUAAGAAGAUGAUAAAGUACCCUACUAAUUUUAACAUAUUUCUUUAUUCCCUCAGAUAUAUUUUAAUCACAGGAAAGAUCUCUGUGCUUUGGAAAUAAGAAGAUGGAACACAAUUCAUAAGAUAGCUCCUAAAAUUUUAGAAAUCAUUCUGUGAAAGUUUCUGUUUCUCUACUAUCAAAGAAAGACCAAAGAACAACGUUUCCUAGCCUGGAGGAAAAGCGAAGCAGCCUUUGGAAAUCAUCUUGGAAGAGACAUUCAGCUUUCCGUUUUCUACACUUCAGGAGACUUCUGCGAAGAUAUUUGGAAUCAUUAGCUUCCUUCUCACUUCCCUCCUCCUGCUGCUGCUCGGUGUGCUUGGGGCUGAAGGAUGGGCUGUGGUACACCUGAACCAUGGGGGAACACAGACUCUGACAAGAUCCUCUGACUGAAGAAAAAGAAGGCUGUGACUGGAAAGGAUCGGAUGCAACCACAAUUGAGCAUAGAACAAAAAUCCAAAGCUUCAUCAUGUCCAGCAGAUUCUAUUAAAAAAAAAAAAAA